rnacentral:rRNA from 1 species
UCAGGCCUAACACAUGCAAGUCGAACGGCAGCACGGGAGCAAUCCUGGUGGCGAGUGGCGAACGGGUGAGUAAUAUAUCGGAACGUGCCCAGUCGUGGGGGAUAACGCAGCGAAAGCUGUGCUAAUACCGCAUACGAUCUACGGAUGAAAGCGGGGGACUCGCAAGGGCCUCGCGCGAUUGGAGCGGCCGAUAUCAGAUUAGCUAGUUGGUGAGGUAAAGGCUCACCAAGGCGACGAUCUGUAGCUGGUCUGAGAGGACGACCAGCCACACUGGAAGUGAGACACGGUCCAGACUCCUACGGGAGGCAGCAGUGGGGAAUUUUG